rnacentral:rRNA from 1 species
AUGGGGCGGAAUGACAACCACAAGUAUUUUGUUUGCGCCUUCCAAGGGAUACACACAUCUUCUGUUUCAGAGGCUAACAGGAAGCGAAACAAAACAUCGCAGAGGACAGGCUGCAAUGCAAGAAUGAGGGUGAAGGUGCAGGAGGAUAACACAUGCGUGGCAGUGGACAUUGAGUACAAUCAUAAUCACAAACUCAUGCAAACUGAUGACAUGGUGGUAUUUUUGCACUCACACAAGAAUUAUGACCCCGCUAUUUUGGAGUACAUAAAGCUCCUACAGUACCAUGAUGUGAACCACACAACAAUCAUGUCCAUGCUAUCUGAAAAUGAAGAUGGAAGCCACUUCCUAAGCAUGACCGGACGAGACCUACUAAACCAGAAAGCCAUGAAUGCAAGGAAAGAUGAUUUGGAUGAUGUAUUGAAACUUGUUUCAUUCUUCAAAGACAUGAAGGCAAUAAAUGAUGAGUUUUUCUAUGACAUCCAAGUAGACAAGGACAAGUCAAUUAAAAACAUUUUCUGGUCCAAUGCAAGCUGCCGAGGAGCCUAUCAAGACUUCGGUGAUUGCGUAACAUUCGACACAACUUACAAGACCAACAUAUUUCAUAUGCCUCUAUGAGUGUUUGUUGGAACAAACCAUCACUUGCAGUCAACGAUAUUUUCUGUUGCCCUGAUCAGAGACGAAGAUGCAAAGUCAUUCAAGUGGUACCAGUGCCCAUCGAUGGCGAACGCUAUACCACAAUCAUUUCCAAACACCGUCCACAAGCUAUGCCGUUGGCACAUCAUGAAGAAGUAUAGGGAAUACCUCGCAUUGCUGUACAAAAAGUAUAAAACAUUCAAAGAGGAGUUCACAGCUAUAUUAAACUGGCCGCUGAUGCCAACGGAGUUUGAAGAUGCCUGGGCUAAACUCGUACACAAGUACAACCUGGAGAAUGACCAGAUGAUGCAGCUGUGGAGUGAUAGGAAGAUGUGGAUUUUAGCAUAUUACAAGAACAUUUUCUGUGCUAGAAUGACUUCCACACAACAAAGCGAGAGCAUGAACCACGUGCUCAAGAAAGGGUUUGUCAAGGGGACCCAGAACCUACACAAGUUUGCUAGGCGGGUCAAUGCUUGCAUACAAACUCGGAUGCAUAAGGAGAACGAGCAAACAAUGACCAGCAUGACCAAUCAUGUGACAAAAACAACUUACGGCUAUGAGGAAGACAUGUCUAUCAAGUACAUGAGAGCCGUGUACACCAAGAUGAGGACUAGGAUGAGAAAAGCCAUGCUAUUUCGCGAAAAGUGUACAGCAGAACCCACUAAGUACCUUGUGUACUACCACAACAAGCCUGGCCAUGAUGAUGAAGAAAGAUUUUCCUGGUCAAAGCAUGAAUUCCAGAUUGUAGCUGACCCAGAGAAUGAAAUAUACGAGUGUGAAUGCAAGCUCUGGACACACAAAGGUGAGCGGAAAAACAAACUCAUUAAAUAG